rnacentral:tRNA from 1 species
AGUGCCGGUGGCGUCCAGGGCGGUGCCGCCCGUUCCGCCUUGGCCGCCGGUGGCGUUGCCGGUGCCGGCGGCGAUCGUCGCGCUGCCGCCGUUGCC